rnacentral:rRNA from 1 species
GACGAACGCUGGCGGCGUGCUUAACACAUGCAAGUCGAACGGGAGUAUUGAAGAAGCUUGCUUUAGAGAUACUUUAGUGGCGGACGGGUGAGUAACGCGUGAGGAGCUGUCCUAUGCAGGGGGACAACAGCUGGAAACGGCUGCUAAUACCCCAUAAGCCGAGAGGUAAAAGGAUUUAUCCGGCAAAAGGAGGCACUCGCGUCCUAUCAGCUAGUAGGUUGGGUAACGGCCGACCUAGGCGAAGACGGGUAGCCGGCCUGAGAGGGCGAACGGCCACACUGGAACUGAGAUACGGUCCAGACUCCUACGGGAGGCAGCAGUGGGGAAUAUUGGGCAAUGGGGGGAACCCUGACCCAGCGACGCCGCGUGGGUGAAGAAAUCCUUCGGGAUGUAAAGCCCUGUUGUAUGGGAAGAGCGGAAGACGGUACCAUACGAGGAAGCCCCGGCAAACUACGUG